rnacentral:rRNA from 1 species
GAGGAAUAUUGGACAAUGGAUGGAAAUCUGAUCCAGCCAUGCCGCGUGAAGGACGACGGUCCUAUGGAUUGUAAACUUCUUUUGUAUGGGAGCAAUAAGGUCUACGUGUAGAUCGAUGAGAGUACCAUACGAAUAAGCAUCGGCUAACUCCGUGCCAGCAGCCGCGGUAAUACGGAGGAUGCGAGCGUUAUCCGGAUUUAUUGGGUUUAAAGGGUGCGUAGGCGGUUGUAUAAGUCAGCGGUGAAAUUUUCCGGCUUAACCGGGAGACUGCCGUUGAUACUGUAUAGCUUGAAUACGGUUGCUGUGAGUGGAAUGUGUGGUGUAGCGGUGAAAUGCAUAGAUAUCACACAGAAUAUCGAUUGCGAAGGCAGCUCACAAAGCCGUUAUUGACGCUGAUGCACGAAAGUGUGGGGAUCAAACA